AGGAAGGAAGAACCAAAGGCCAUUAAAAAACAAUAAAAAGGAUGGGCUAAUUCUUAUGUGCUGCAGAAGGGUCUCAAACACCAACCUUUCCCCUCUUUUAUCAUCCACCUAUGUUGUACAAUCUUCUCCUCUCUCCAUCAACAAUGGCUAAUCUUGAUUUUAUCCAACUCUUCCUUCAAACAUGCUUCUUCUAAUAACUCUUAAUCAACCUUUAUGAAUAUUCAUUACCCCAUUUCAUCUAUGGCUUCUUCUUGUAUAGAUUUUGAUAGAGUCAAGUUGAUUCCUUUGUCACUCACUUCCAUAUGUAAUUGCCACUCUCAUCACCCUCCUUCUACAUCAUCAGCUCCUUUUCCUAGAACCUUAAGUUUGACCCGACCAAGAUGUUCAAUUUCAAGAAUUGGUUUGUUUCUCGAUGGGUCUAGAGUUUCAGGUGUACCAAGAACCAUUUUCUUGAAACACCCUCGAAUUAUCACGGCUGUUGCUCGUGCUGAACCCGGUCGCCUUUUCGAUGAUGAGGAAGUCAACAAAGGCAACGGUACAAUGGAGGGGGAAAUUCCCACUUCUGAACUCAAGCAGAAAAAUAGUCAAUUGAAGAAAAGGGUAGUCUUUGGACUUGGUAUAGGUAUUUCAGUCGGAGGUGUGGUAUUAGCUGGAGGAUGGGUUUUCACUGUUGCCGUUGCUGCUGCUGUUUUUGUGGGUGCACGAGAGUACUUUGAACUGGUUAGGAGUCGUGGAAUUGCUGAUGGAAUGACUCCUCCUCCUAGAUACGUAUCAAGAGUUUGCUCUGUCAUCUGUGCUCUCAUGCCUCUACUCACACUAUAUUUAGGUCAGAUUGAUGUUUCUGUUACCUCUGCGGCCUUUGUUGUUGCAAUGGCACUGCUGAUGCAAAGGCGAAUUCCUCGUUUUGCUCAACUUACUAGUGCCAUGUUUGGGCUCUUUUAUGUUGGCUAUCUGCCUUGUUUCUGGGUUAAGUUGAGAUGUGGUUUGGCAGUACCAGCUCUGAACACUAGACUAGGAGCAUCAUGGCCUGUCCUUCUUGGAGGCCCAACUCAGUGGACCGCGGGGCUUGUGGCGACCUUAAUUUCAUUCAGCAGUAUCAUUGCAGCAGAUACAUUUGCUUUUAUUGGAGGCAAGGCUUUUGGUCGGACACCGCUUACUAGCAUUAGCCCAAAGAAAACUUGGGAGGGAGCUCUUGCAGGCUUAGGAGGUUGUAUAGCCACUUCUGUGGUGUUAUCAAAAACGUUCUGUUGGCCUACAUCCACAUUAAGUGCUGUAGCUUUUGGAUUUCUGAACUUUUUUGGAUCUCUCUUUGGUGACCUCACUGAGUCAAUGAUCAAACGUGAUGCGGGUGUGAAGGACUCAGGAUCUCUCAUUCCUGGACACGGAGGAAUACUGGACAGGGUGGAUAGCUACAUAUUUACGGGUGCAUUGGCAUACUCCUUUGUGAAAAUGUUGUUACCACUUUAUGGAGUUUGAUGAACCUAAUAAGGAUUCCCUGUGAAGGAAAAAGAUACUUCAUGGCUGUUCUCUUAACUCAGGAGCAAGCACAAGGUGACAUACUCAGUACUGUAGAACAACAUCCGACGUAUGAGGUUCAGUUGAAGGUGCCAUGACAUCUUAAUAAUGGAAAUGGCAAGAUUUAACAUUUUUUGACUCCUGGUAGAGAAUCUUGAAGUGACAACCUUUUUCAGUUGCUGCAUGGAAUGGUUGAUGUUUUCAAUCCUAUUUUGAUAAAGUUUGGAUGCGAUUCGGAACCAUUGAGAUUCUCUAUUGAUUCAUCUGAUUUGAGUGAGAACGGUGAUUGCAGUGAUGAAAGCAGAUCUGUUGCUAGAACGGUGAUUGCAGUGAUGAAAGCAGAUCUGUUGCUUUCUUCAUUUUUGCUACCUUUCUAGAUAAGAUCUACUGCUUUAGAUAGGAGUUUUUUAUUCGAAUUUAUUGAGUUUUGGAUCUUUCUUACAUUUAUGGAGUUUUUUUGGGUUAUGGAUCAAAACACAAACCCUACUCAAACAUUAUUCUCUCAGAUCCAACAAUCAGAGAAAUGGAGGCGUAAAAUUAGCUUUUUAGUGUUAUUCUCUUUCUGUACAUUUAAUAAGAAGGAAAUUUUGUAUUAAAUUUGUAUUAAUAUUAUAAAAAAGUUGUAUACAAUGUUGUAGUUGGAUUAACUUUCA